CUUCUUCACAUGCCUCCAAGAAACCCAACCCAUUCAAGAUAAAAAUUCAAAAUAAUGUAUGGAACCUUGUUAGCCCCGUCUUUCAUGGCUUCCUUAACAAGCACCUUUUCGUUAGCCUUCGCCUUAAAAAGGCCGACUCUAAAAGAGCCAACUUUGUCUCAGUACUUUUUAGUUGGUUGAGAAGCAAUGCCUUUUCACUCAUUGCCUUAUCCAGGCCCUUGGAAAUAGUAAACUUUUUGGCCUUAAUUGAUUGAAGCUCUUCUUUGAGACACAAAAGUUCAGCUUCAAAUCUUGGGAAUAAGCAGCAGGGCUCUCUUUGGCCAGUUCCAACUCUUAGUAACUCUUUUAACAUUGGCCACCAAAUAAGCCUCCAUUGCGGCAAAGACUUCAGAGCCUUUGCUAAUCUCUUUUUUCCUUUUCAUUUCUUUCUCAGCCUCUUCCAACCUUUUCUAAAGAGUUUUUACACCCCUUCUCCAAAGAAUCAUUUUUCUUCUCUAGUUUGUUAGUUUGCAAAACACAGACCUCAUACUUUCUUUGUCAAUCAUGAUGAAGAAUGAUAGCUCGCAAGAGAUGACCGUUAAUAAUAUUUCUUCUUUGCUUGAGAGCCAUAUCCUUCGUAAACUUAUCUCAAUUGGAGUUAAAAUACAGAAAAGAGUAUAUGUCGCUCUAGAGACAAUGGCAGGAAUCAUUGAUAAAGCCCUGGGGUCUAGCUCCUCGUUAAGGUGAGGAAAAAACUAUAGCCUUGGUGUUUACUAUGUUUAAGGUCUUUCUAGCAUUUCUCUUUUCCUCUUGGGAGGGUCAUUUACUAGGUUUGACAAUGAUUGACGUGUGCAAAGAUCCCUAAGUUAAAGCAAUGGGAAAACCUUCAGUCGUGCGAGAUGGUAGAGGUUGUUUAGUUUUACUUUCACUCUCAUGCGAAGUUUCGUCCUUAUUUUACCUAGAGCUCCCUAUGGGUGUAUCCUUAGAAGGUGGAGGUAAAGCCAAUUUUUGGCAUUUAGGAUCAGCGUUAAAGUUGAUCUUCAUCCAGGAAAAGUCAUCAAUUUGAGAUUACUUAGGACAAAAUAAUACCAUGAACUCACUUAAAUCCCCCUCAAAAAAAUUAAUAAGGCCUUAUUUCCAGUCGGAUUAGGAUGAUAGCAAAUAUCAACCAAGAUAUGAGUUACUCUUAAUAGUAGAGUGGUUAAUUGAAAAAGUUUCAAACAGGGAAUUACCAUCGAUUCAAUAAUAGAAGCUUUAUACAACACAACUUCGUAAACAACAAGAGUUAUGGUCUGGAU
rnacentral:lncRNA from 1 species